rnacentral:rRNA from 1 species
GACGAACGCUGGCGGCGUGCUUAACACAUGCAAGUCGAACGGACGGGCCCGGCUCUUGCUGGGUUCUCGAUUGGCGAACGGGGGAGUAACACGCGAGUAACCUCCCCCUGACAUUGGGAGAACUUCACGAGACUGGGGCUAAUACCGGGGAUGAUCUCCUGCUGCGUGUGGGUGGAUGGUAAGAUCCGGCGGUUUGGGCUGGACUCGCUGCUUAUCAGCUUGUUGGGGAGGUAGUUGCGUACCAAGGCUUUGAAGGAUAGCCCGCCUGGGAGGGUGACCGGCCACCUUGCGCCUGAGAUACGCAGCAGACGCCUACGGGCGGCAGCAGUGGGGAAUAUUGCGCAAUGGGCGGGAGCCUGAUGUGGAGGCGCCGCGAGCGGGAUGCCGGCCUUCGAGUUGUAAACAGCUUUCGACUGUGCCGAAGCGUGCGUGACGGUAAUGGGUAAGGAAGCCCCGGCUAACUACGUG